rnacentral:lncRNA from 1 species
AGUGGGUGUGGCAGACCCCUGGGCUAACAGCCCAAGGUACGCACCUCAAUGACCCCCACCUGUGUCUGUAUCAGCACACCUGGACCAGCUCAGAACAACCGCCCCCACCAAUGUCUCAGUCUCCGGAGAGGAUCCUCCUCUCACCAAGAUGCCCCCAGAGCCCACCAGUUGUAGGUCCUUCCAGCCAUGGCAUGUGGGAUGCCGCCUCAGCAUGGCCUGAUGAGCGGUGCCAUGUCCAUGUCCAGGAUUCGAACCAGUGAAACCCUGGGCCGCUGAAGCAGAGCGCAUGACCCAAAUCACUCAGCCAUGGGGCCAGCCCCGAGGUCAAGUCCUUUAGUACAACAUUGUGACAGAAGAUAUAAAAAUUCUUGUCCUGUUCUUCACUUUAAUGGAAUGGUUCCAUUAAUUCUCCACUAAGUGAAGAAGAUUCACCCUGAGCCAAGUUCCAUUCCAGUCUUCCUCUAUUUUGUAUGUGGGAUGCCUCCACAGCAUGGCUCAGCAUGGGAUGAGUGAAGUAGGUCCACACACCAGAUCCAGAUCUGCAACCGCCGGGCCGCCAAAGCAGAGUGUGUGGAACUUUAACCACUUGUCAUGGAGCUGGCCCUGAUCAGCUUUUUAUUUUUAUUGAGGGUUACAUGCUAAUAUUUUUCCAAUUUUACCC